rnacentral:rRNA from 1 species
UGGGGAAUAUUGCGCAAUGGGGGAAACCCUGACGCAGCCAUGCCGCGUGAGUGAAGAAGGUCUUCGGAUCGUAAAGCUCUUUCAACGGUGAAGAUGAUGACGGUAGCCGUAGAAGAAGCCCCGGCUAACUUCGUGCCAGCAGCCGCGGUAAUACGAAGGGGGCAAGCGUUGUUCGGAAUUACUGGGCGUAAAGGGCGUGUAGGCGGCCAAUUAAGUCAGAGGUGAAAUCCCCGAGCUCAACUUGGGAACUGCCUUUGAUACUGGUUGGCUAGAGUUCGGGAGAGGGUAGUGGAAUUCCCAGUGUAGAGGUGAAAUUCGUAGAUAUUGGGAAGAACACCAGUGGCGAAGGCGGCUACCUGGACCGAUACUGACGCUGAGGCGCGAAAGCGUGGGGA